UACGAAGGGGGCUAGCGUUGCUCGGAAUUACUGGGCGUAAAGCGCACGUAGGCGGCUCUUUAAGUCGGGGGUGAAAUCCUGGAGCUCAACUCCAGAACUGCCUUCGAUACUGAAGAGCUUGAGUCCGGGAGAGGUGAGUGGAACUGCGAGUGUAGAGGUGAAAUUCGUAGAUAUUCGCAAGAACACCAGUGGCGAAGGCGGCUCACUGGUCCGGUACUGACGCUGAGGUGCGAAAGCGUGGGGAGCAAACAGG
rnacentral:rRNA from 1 species